rnacentral:rRNA from 1 species
CCUACGGGAGGCAGCAGUGGGGAAUUUUGGACAAUGGGCGCAAGCCUGAUCCAGCAAUGCCGCGUGAGUGAAGAAGGCCUUCGGGUUGUAAAGCUCUUUUGUCAGGGAAGAAACGGUGGGAGCUAAUAUCUCCUGCUAAUGACGGUACCUGAAGAAUAAGCACCGGCUAACUACGUGCCAGCAGCCGCGGUAAUACGUAGGGUGCAAGCGUUAAUCGGAAUUACUGGGCGUAAAGCGUGCGCAGGCGGUUUUGUAAGACUGUCGUGAAAUCCCCGGGCUCAACCUGGGAAUGGCGAUGGUGACUGCAAGGCUAGAGUUUGGCAGAGGGGGGUAGAAUUCCACGUGUAGCAGUGAAAUGCGUAGAUAUGUGGAGGAACACCGAUGGCGAAGGCAGCCCCCUGGGUCAAAACUGACGCUCAUGCACGAAAGCGUGGGGAGCAAACAGGAUUAGAUACCCUGGUAGUCCACGCCCUAAACGAUGUCUACUAGUUGUCGGGUCUUAAUUGACUUGGUAACGCAGCUAACGCGUGAAGUAGACCGCCUGGGGAGUACGGUCGCAAGAUUAAAAACUCAAAAUGAAGUUAGUACGGCGUGAGACGUAGCCGACGGACGACGACGAGGGAGGAGGAG